AUGGUGCCGAAGGCCUCCCUCCUCGUGGCCCUCAGCCUGGUUCUCGUCUUCACCGUGGCCAACGCGUGCGGCGAUAGCUGCCCGACGCCGACUCCGGCGACCCCGACACCGACGCCGUCCCACAGCAAGUGCCCCAAGAACGCACUGAAGCUCGCUGCGUGCGCCGACGUCCUAGGCCUCGUCAGCGCCGAGGUCGGCCAGCCGCCGGCCGAGCCGUGCUGCAGCAUCCUCGGCGGCCUCGCCGACCUCGAGGCCGCCGUCUGCCUCUGCACGGCCAUCAAGGCCAACGUGCUCGGCAUCAGCCUCGACAUCCCCCUCAAGCUCAGCCUGCUCGUCAACUACUGCGGCAAGAACCUCCCAAGUGGCUUCAUUUGCGCUUGA
rnacentral:rRNA from 1 species